GGAAGCACAUUUCUGUGACCCCACCCGCUUCAGUCAAAGGUGCGCCCGUGGGGUGUGCACAGGGCCCCACUUCUGGGUUGUGCCCAAGUGCAUUCUGAGCUCGGGGGCGUGGGAACAGACGAGGCCUUCAGGCUGUGGACUGGGGGCAGGCCCUGCUGACCUGCACAGCCUGGGGGUUGCCCACCCGAGCAGGGCUGGGAGAAGCACACGCCCAGGGGGCUGCAGGCAGUGCCCGAGAGGGGUCCCCAGCAGGUGCCCAGCUCCGUCCUCAGGUGUGAGACAGUCUGGACGGAGGGAGCACAUGUGAACUGAAGCGGGACGCUGGCAGUUAAACCCCGGAACCCGCACCUCCCCCGCCCCCGACAUGCCCUCCGACCUCUUGCCCCACCUUCUGACAGGGCAGCCGUGCUGGGCCAUCUAAUAAGUGGGGAGGCAGCACCCCCACGCCCUCUCCCCGCCAUAUAUGGGGGCUCUAGUAGUAACUCCAAUUGUUGACCCCACACCAUCACUUUUAGCUUGAAGGAAGAGAGCUGUUUUGUUUGGCUCUGUUUUCAAUUGGCAUUAAGGUCUCCUGUGGGCCCACCUGGGCCUGAACCCCCCGCCCUGAACCCCGGCCCUGACCCCGGCCCUGAACCCCAGCCCGGACCCCGGUCCUAAACCCCGGCCCUGACCCUGACCCCAGCUGAACCCUGGCCCUGACCCUGAGCCCUGGCCCUGACCCUGGACCCUGAACCCCGGCCCGGACCCCGGCCCUGACCCCAGCUGAACCCUGGCCCUGAACCCUGGCCCUGACCCUGGUCCUGAACCCUGGCCCUGACCCCGGCCCUGAUCCCGCUGAAGCCAGGCCCUGACCCCAGCCCUGGAUCCUGGCCCUGAUCCCGGCCAGACCCUGGCCCAGGCCCCUCCAAAGCCCAACACAAACCAUGAACUCGGCUGCCCCCUCACAGGUCACAAGAGCCCAGAGUCUCGAGCCGGCUUGCCUUCUCUGCUCAGGGUCGCAGUGCUGCUGGGGGAGGACCGCCGGCUGAGCCGAGGCCUGGCCUCAGGCACUCCAGGCUGCUCACCCCCUCCCAUCCUGCCCUUCCUGCUCCCAGAGGCUGCUCCAAAGACAAUGCCUUGACCAGUGCCGUGGCCGAGAACACCUGCACCAUUCGCGUGACAGCCCAGCCUGGAGGGACGUCGCUGUCUUCCGUCUCUCCCUGCCCUCCACCAACGGGGUUGGUUAUAGAUCACACCCAAGGAGCCUGCACCCUCGACCCUCAGGUCUGGCCAACAGAGAGGGAGCCCUAGGAAAAGGGGCAAGUGACCCAUCAGGAAGAGCGUGGGCGGGGUCACCUGAAUGACCUCAGAGGGCUUGCGAGCUCCUGGGAGGAACUGAGCCCGUGAGUGCAUUUCAGGGAGACGCAGGUGCUCCCGCCCUACAGGUGGGAGGUCCAGGGCACCUGCCUCUUGGGGCUUCCCCGCUGACCCUGGGGACCAGGAGAGAGGCUGGGCCCCGAAGAGGGCUCCCGACCCGGCCUGCCCCCGUGUCCUUCCCAGGUGCUUCCAUCCCCAGUCCUGCCCUGCCCCCUGCCCCCUGCCCCGUGUCCUCACCCCGACCCUCCCUCCUGCACCUCUGCUCUCCGCUGACUCCUCUGGCGGCCCGGGGAUCCCAGCGAGACUGUGCCCCAACCCCUCCCAUCUGGAGGUGCAGGCCGGCUCUGGCUGCCCAAGUGAGGGCAUCUGGCACCAUCAGAAAGUUCCACAGAGGGACAGCUGACCUGACCUCCUGGCCUUGACCUUGGUCUUGACCGUGACCUUGGUCCAAGUCCCAGUCCUGCUGCACUCACCGCAGGUAACCCCUCCACUCUGCCUCAGACACACCCAGAGGGCGCCCCCAGACCCGGGCUGGGCCCCAAACACAAUCACCCCCCACAGCUGGUUAACGUGAGUUCCUGGUUUAAGCGGGAAGACGGACAGAGCACCCCCUUCAGACUUCAGCUCCCACGUGUGGGUCUGGGGUCUGCCUCCAGGCUCCGUCACUCGCCAGCUCAGUGGUCAGGAAUUGGGGGCUCCCCGGGGCCACCGACUACCUCUCUCCGGCCAGGAAGGGCAGUUCCCCCGACACCACGGGCUCGGGGCCUGCGACGUCCUUACACAGGGCUCUGCGAGCCCCGCCCGCUACUGCGACCUACUUUCCUUCCCGGCCCCGUAAAAUCCAGCUAGGACGUCCCCCAGGCUCAUGGCUGUGACAGACAGACCCUCAGACGGACAGGCGUGUGGCAGAGAACGAGGGUGGGGGCCCCCAGCGCCUGCCCUGGGCUGCAGGGACUUGAUCCACAGUGAUUUCCUGCCCGGACUCGGACUCCAGACCCUGAGGGGACAAGUCUCCUCCCCCGCCCCCGUUUCAAAACCCAGAGAUGGCCAUCAGACAACUCAAUCGGAAAAAGAUCAAUCGGAAAAAUCAGCCCGGAAUCAUGCUCACCACAAUGUAACUAGGGGUUGUUUCUGGGUAAUAAUAUUUUGGGCCAUCUUUUUUGAGUUUACUUAUUUUGAGAGACAGAGAGACGGGGUGAGGGGAAGAGGGGAGAGAGAGAGAGAGAG